rnacentral:misc_RNA from 1 species
UUUAUUUUCCUCAUUGCACACCAAUGGCAGAACAAGGAAAACGUCGAGAUUUGGACAAGCUUGUCAAAGAUGGCCUCAGUGCUCUGGUGUUUGGGGUUGGUUACAAAGUCGGCAUUAUUGACCACUUCAUUAAAAUCAAACAACCGUGCACUGCACAGGAACUUGCUCAGCAGACUGGAAUGAAACAAAGAUACAUUCAGGAAUGGCUAAACAGUAUGGUGGCCGCAGGAAUCGUGACGUCACAUGCAGACGACAGAUUUUCCUUGGAUUAUCCGGAGUCUGAGAUGAAGACGCACGGACAUGGCGCCACGGUCCUUCCGAUUCUGAGCGCAAUGUUACCAAAACUGGAGGCAGUCCUGCCUAGUAAAGGACCAAAGGGGUAUGGGUACUGGGAUCCUUUCCUUGAGUGGUGGGGCGGUUACCACAAACCAGAGGACAUUCAGAUGUGGAUCAAUGACCUUCUUUUACCUGUGCUUGACCUGAAAUCUAGUUCCGACUUCAAGCUGCUCGAUCUUGGCUGUGGAUAUGGGAGAUACACUCUUAUGAUCGCCAAGCGUUAUCCUAAUAGCACCGUGUAUGGCGUUGACCCGGACAGGAAAUCCAUCGACGAAGCCAACGCGCAGCUGCAAAAGGAAGCGCUAAGCAAUGUCAACUUCCUGUGUAUGCCGGGAGAACAGCUUCCUCAAGACUGGACGGAAAAGUUUGAUUUUGUCAUUCUCAACGAUGUUCUCCAUGACGCAUAUGCGGUAGACGGUAUUCUGACGGAAUCCGUCGUGUUUUGAAAUCCGACGGAUUCGGAGCGGCCUACGAUCCGCCGGUUUCAUCGUACUCCGCCAAGCUGACCGAUACCGACAUUCCCCAGCUGUACCUGCCCCUGAGCUUGUUUUCCUGUCUUCCCAUGAGCCUCUCGGUCCUUACGGCGAGGGAUACGGCGUGGGCUGGGGCUACGAAAAGCGGAGGGAGAAGAUCGAAAAACAUGACUUCCGUCUGGUCAAAGUCGGAGACAUGGAUAUCGAUGUGGUCCAAGAAAGAAUUGUCUUCAAAAAAUGAUUCAAGCUGGUUUAUGUUUAAGUAAUAAAACUUAAUUUUUCACUGCU